ensembl:snRNA U6 U6 spliceosomal RNA
AUGCUUGCUACGGCUGCACAUAUACUAAAAUUGGAUCGAUACAGAUAAUAUUAACAUGGCCCCUGCGAAAGGAUGACAUGCAAAUCCGUGAAACGCUCCAUAUUUUG